rnacentral:rRNA from 1 species
AGCAAACGCUGGCGGCGUGCCUAAUACAUGCAAGUCGAACGAAGAAAGCUCUUCGGAGCGAGUAAGAGUGGCGCACGGGUGAGUAACGCGUGGAUAACGUGCCCUAGAGUGGGGAAUAGCCCAUCGAAAGAUGGAUUAAUACCGCAUAAGACUACAGUCUCUAUGGAGACAGUGGUCAAAGAUUUAUCGCUCUAGGAUCGGUCCGCGUAGGAUUAGCUUGUUGGUGAGGUAAAGGCUCACCAAGGCUUCGAUCUUUAGCUGGUUUGAGAGGAUGAUCAGCCACACUGGAACUGAGACACGGUCCAGACUCCUACGGGAGGCAGCAGUAGGGAAUCUUGCACAAUGGGGGAAACCCUGAUGCAGCAACGCCGCGUGAGUGAUUAAGGCUUUAGGGUCGUAAAGCUCUGUCGUAAGGGAAUAACACAAUGAAGGUACCUUACAAGAAAGGACCGGCUAACUUCG